GAGUUUGAUCCUGGCUCAGGAUGAACGCUGGCGGUAUGCUUAACACAUGCAAGUCGAACGAAAGUUUUUAACUUUAGUGGCGAACGGGUGAGUAAUACGUGAGAAUCUGCCCUUAGGAGAAGAAUAACUGCUGGAAACGGUUGCUAAAUCUUCAUAUGUCGAGAGGUGAAAUAGCUUAAGCUGCCUAAGGAUGAGCUCACGCCUGAUUAGCUUGUUGGUGAGGUAAUGGCUCACCAAGGCCACGAUCAGUAGCUGGUUUGAGAGAACGAUCAGCCACACUGGGACUGAGACACGGCCCAGACUCCUCCGGGAGGCAGCAGUGAGGAAUUUUCCGCAAUGGGCGAAAGCCUGACGGAGCAAUACCGCGUGAGGGAUGAAGGAUUUUGGUCUGUAAACCUCUUUUCUCAAGAAAGAAGUUCUGACGGUACUUGAGGAAUAAGCAUCGGCUAACUCCGUGCCAGCAGCCGCGGUAAUACGGGGGAUGCAAGCGUUAUCCGGAAUGAUUGGGCGUAAAGCGCCUGUAGGUUGUUUAUUAAGUCCGUUGUUAAAGCCUAGGGCUUAACCCUAGAAAGGCAAUAGAAACUAGUAGACUAGAGUAUGGCAGGGGUAGAGGGAAUUUCUAGUGUAGCGGUGAAAUGCGUAGAUAUUAGAAAGAACACCGGUGGCGAAAGCGCUCUACUGGACCAUUACUGACGCUCAGAGGCGAAAGCUAGGGUAGCAAAAGGGAUUAGAUACCCCUGUAGUCCUAGCCGUAAACGAUGGAUACUAGAUGUUGUGCAUUAUGUACAGUAUCGUAGCUAACGCGUUAAGUAUCCCGCCUGGGGAGUACGCUCGCAAGGGUGAAACUCAAAGGAAUUGACGGGGGCCCGCACAAGCGGUGGAGCAUGUGGUUUAAUU
rnacentral:rRNA from 1 species